GCGUGUGUGAUGAAGGCCUUAGGGUUGUAAAGCACUUUCGCCGAUGAAGAUAAUGACGGUAGUCGGAGAAGAAGCCCCGGCUAACUUCGUGCCAGCAGCCGCGGUAAUACGAAGGGGGCAAGCGUUGUUCGGAUUUACUGGGCGUAAAGCGUACGUAGGCGGAUCAUUAAGUCAGGGGUGAAAUCCCGGGGCUCAACCUCGGAACUGCCUUUGAUACUGGUGAUCUUGAGUCCGGGAGAGGUGAGUGGAACUCCUAGUGUAGAGGUGAAAUUCGU
rnacentral:rRNA from 1 species